GAAAUGCGAUAAGUAAUGUGAAUUGCAGAAUUCAGUGAAUCAUCGAAUCUUUGAACGCACAUUGCGCCCGCCAGUAUUCUGGCGGGCAUGCCUGUUCGAGCGUCAUUUUAACCAUCAAGCCCCCGGGCCUGUGUUGGGGACCUGCGGCCGCCGCAGGUCCCGAAAAGCAGUGGCGGGCUCGCUGUCACCGCGAGCGUAGUAGUAAUCACCUCGCUUAGGGCGUGCUGUGGGCGCCGGCCGUUAAAAGCCAUUAUUCCCCGCAAAGGUUGACCUCGGAUCAGGUAGGAAUACCCGCUGAACUUAA
rnacentral:misc_RNA from 1 species